rnacentral:lncRNA from 1 species
UUUAUUUUAGCCUUCAUUGCUAAUUGAUGCUGUAACUGCCAGUAUAAUCAUUGCCUUUCACCUGAACUCUCUGAUUUCUGCCUGCUGGAAUUUAUACUGAAAAUAGUAAUAUGUUGUUUGUAAAUGAAUUGAUUGAUUUAUGAACUGCCUUUGUUCUUUAUGGCUGGUUUAUGAUUGGAUUGACAACCUACGGAUGUCCCCUACUGGUUCGUAAGUGAGAUUGGCUAUUUGCUGGUUUGCCUUUUACUGAUUCCAUUUGGCUGAUUGUAACAACUCUGCCCUUUGGUAUGUAUGUGUUUGUGAUAGCCUUUUCUGCUCUGAUAUGGGUGUUUGUGUUGACUAGAUAUUUGCACCAACUCCCGCCUUGGCUAGCACGUCAUUCAUACAACCAUUCUGCCUUGCAUCUCAAGUUCCUCAAUCUUUAUUGCUAUAACCGAGGCUUCAUCAAAUUUGCCAGGGUCAAUCUUGGAAAUAGAAGAAACCCAAUUUAAGUGUGUCCGAAUAUUUAAGGUUUCAUUAUGCCAACGAAAGAUGUUUAAAGAGAGCUCCUGCGAGAGACUAAUUGACACUUGUAAUAAUGUAGGAUAUAUUCAUUGUCCUUCAUGUAGCCAGGUGGUUCCUACUAUGAUGGGGGUUUGAAGUGUAUUCACCUAUUUCCUUUUUGUACACUGUUUUGAUANNNNNNNNNNNNNNNNNNNNNNNNNNNNNNNNNNNNNNNNNNNNNNNNNNNNNNNNNNNNNNNNNNNNNNNNNNNNNNNNNNNNNNNNNNNNNNNNNNNNGAAAGCAUGUAAUAAUUGAUGAUUUUAAUGGAGAAUGUCUAUAGUUGAAAACCGUGAGAUGUCAUUUACACUCAUAGGUUGCAUUUGAUUUUUUGUUUGUAACACCUCAUUUUUUCUGACCACCAAUUGAUUUUUACAAUUUAAACAAAACUGAUAAAUUAAAUUCCAAUCAAACGAGCCGAUAACUAAUUGAUCCUUGGUUGUGAUUCGAAGACAAAGUUGACUAUGAGACAAUAAAAUGUAAAUUUUUUAUUCUUUUGUUGUUUUGAAAAAUUUAUAUUAUUGUAAAAAGGCCGGACAAAAUUGAGUGUUCACAAGAAACAUCAAUUUGAAGACAAUUUUAGUUAAGCUUUGGACUUAAAUGGUGAAGAAAUGGAACCUCAAUAUGAAACAACUUUGACUCAUUGGUGUUAAAGUUUUAAAUAUAUAAUAUAUUUUGUAGACUGAGUUAUGAACUUGCGUCAUAUGUUUCGAGUUUGUUAAGUAAGACAAGUACUUGUGGAUUACUAUUUGUAUUUGUAAUUUAGACUUUAGAUUUAUUAAAGUUGUUUGUUUAUGAGAAUUCUUACUUUGACUAUAAAUAUGGAUUAUAAAUUUGAGUAUCUACAUCUUAGAUAAUUUUUGUUACAGGUUAUAUAUAAGCAUGUAUAUUCGGUUUAACCGGUUUAAUCUCAUAUGGUUUAAUUAUUAAACCAAUGGUUGAACCACUAAACCACUAAACCAGUACCCUCACCGAUUUGAUUGACCAGUCCAGUUUUAAUAACAUUGGUUUAAAUCCCACAAUACCCCAAGUAUUCUAAUUUUUUAUUUUUAUUCUAUUUGUCCGACCGCAUUAUCACAAAUGAAAACUUAUCAAUCCAACAAUCCAAUGUUGGGAUGGCUAUUACUUUAGUUAAUUAUUUUUUCUUAAUUUCAAAAUUACUCUUUUAGUGGACUACUCAAAACUACUUUUUUAAAUUUGCUUCUUUAUUUAAUUAAAAAAUACAUUGCCAACUCUUCUAAGUUUACCUUUUAAUUAAAUGAUUAAUUUAAAAAAUUUGUUUUUAGUUGUUAAUUCAAAUUAUCUUUUAAUUAAUUUCUUUAAGUUAAUUUUAGGAUUUAAAAUAAAAGGCAUGACUUGAUUCAUAUGUUUUUUCUGCUCCAAAUUGAGAAGUAGUUAUAGUCUUUAAUAACGUUUCUUCUAUCUUUCAACAUAAGAAGAUGAUUUACAAUCAAUGUUAUAUCUUUUUUACUAAUUCUAUUUCAAUUAAGUAUUUCCUUUCAAAUUUUUAUAAAAAAUAGAUGUUACUAAAAAUAUUUUUUGUUAACUAUAAUAAGGGUUAUAAUAGUGAUUACAAUUAGUAUAACAUAUUUCCUUUUUAUUUGGGUUGAGAAUCUGUCGUGAUCACCAAUACUACCUUUGUUAUUAUCUCAUAAAUUAGGGAGGACAAUAUAUGGUCUCUUUCAUUUCUUUCCACCUUAAUUAAUUAAAAUCAAACCAACUCACCGACUAUUUUUAUCUCAAAACUAUAUAAUCUUAAUCUUAUUCUAGAACUACAUAAGGAUAAAAUAAACUCUUUAAUUUACUCUAAUAAUUAAAUAUUUAAUCAAACAAGAUUAUGGUAUUAUUAAGUCCAUACGAUUAGCGAUGAUAUCAUUUUAAUAACGGACAAAUGAGGUGUUAAUACACUCACCUAUUCAUAAUUGACUUCCGAGCUUAGAACUCUAGUUCAAUGACCAUAACUUUUGAGAUUGAGCAUAAAUAAGCUUUUUGCGUUUUGUUCAUGCAAAAAAUGUAGCAGUAACUCCAAAUCAUCAAGAGAGGGUGAAAUCAUUUCAUUUUCCUUUCUUUUCAAUGUUAUGAAACCCGAGCCGAACAUCAAACCGAAAGAGUUCCCGUAUUAGGUUUAACCGGUUCUAGUAAUUAAACCGUCUGGUCGGACCAGAUGAUUUCAUAUAUAAUUCAUCAUUUUUCUCUAUAAAUAUUAUUUAUAUAUAAAUAAUUUUUUUAUAUAAUUAUAUGAAAUAACAUUUCCAUCUUUUUUAGACCAGAGUAAAACAAAAUAUUAGAGUAAUAUUCUGUUUUUUUUAAAUUUUAAGUGAAUCGUGUGGUUCACUUCGCAAAUUAUUGCGGUUCAGUUGAGUUUAACAUGGUUGGACCAGAAUUUCUCCGGUUCAAAGUGGUUCAACCCCUCAAUCGAUUAAGACUACAAACCAGAGCCAUUUUCAAGUUCGGUCAGUGGUCAAACCGAUCAAACCGUUCGGUUCGAUCCGGUUAUCACAUCACUGUUUCUUUCUGUUCCUAAGUCGUGAAGCCGAUAUGUAAAACAUUGGAUCGUGACAAUGACAAUUAAAUUUUAUAUAUAAUCAAUAUUGUUGGGUACCAACAAGGUAAAACACAUCUACAGGGGGAGGUGAAUAGGUGUAGCAGAUCACUAGUCCCACUUUUCUAAUAAAUUUGUAAAACUGAAAAUCACUAAUGUUAAUCGAUUAUGAGUCUUGUUAAUGGAUUAUUCUCAGUAUUGCUUAAUCGACUAUUAACAGUCUUAAUCGGUUAUCCUGUAUAUUGUUAUUCUAGAAAAUCUGAUUUCUUGCAACACAAUCAAAGUGAUUAUCAUUUUUAUGACCUUAAUUUGAUUACUAAUUUUAUCCCAGAUUAUGAACGGUAAGCACAAAUCACAGAAAUCAAAAACUCAAAGAAUCAUAAAAACUGAAAAGUAAAAUAAAUAGGGAAAAUAAGAAUGCUCAAUGAUUUUUAUCCUUGUUUGUUUGUUGGUCCACUUGCAAACUACAUUCAAACCUUUCAUUCUGAUCUUGAGAGAUUUUCUUCACUAUGGAAAUUAAUUAUUCUUACAAGCACACUUCCAAUACAAGCAACAAGAACUCCCUUCUCGAAUCUGUUGAGCCCUAACUCGGUUUGACCACUCCACUCACCUACUCAAAUACCAACACCUUUUGCGAUUCUGGCCCCAACCGCUUUCUCGCUAUAUCCAAGACUUUCUUGCGCUCAUGAAGAUACCAAAUAUUCUCUUUUUCAAGUGGUACCAAAACACCAAGAGAGCAACUCCUUGAUUGACUAUUUUUGCUGAGUUAUGAUGCACACUUAAUGUGCUAAUAUAACUUUGAAUCUCAGCUCUAAACCUUUCGCAGAACCCUCACAAGAAGCCUAAACUAGAUAUGAUAAAAUGCAAUGGUUUCUGAAAAAUGUAUGAAAGUAAUGCACUCUUUUGAAAAGAUUUUCCUCUCUUUUCUCUCAAUGAUUUCAAAUAAACUUUGCAAGAAUCCACAUUAUGCUUUCACUCAGAGAAUAAGCAAGAUGAUAUGAAAUUUCUAAACUCAGAUUCUUGUUUUUUGUUUUUCUUAUGAUUAUCAUGCAUGUCGUGCCUCGAUUUUCGGCUGCACGACCUUAUUAGAUUAUCACCUACUAGGUGUUCUCGGGAGUUAGUAACAGUGACAUCCAUAUCUGACGUAUCAAUUUCGUAAUGAUCGAUAACACGUGAGAUAAAAAUCCUAUAAGGAAGUAGCCUAGAAGAAGAUGAGGUUAUACCAUUCACGACCUUCAGAAUUUCAGCAGGCCAAUUUUCCGUAAUUCCUUCUCUUAUUGAAAACAUUAACUUAAGAUCAUUGAUAGUCGGUUGCACAUGAUUUGUGUUAUGUUGAACCAAAAUAUAUGCAAUUAAGUAAUGCAAGAGUCGACCCUCAACAGAUAAUGAACCAUCCUUGGUUAAUUCACCUUGCACAUAUAGGCGAGGUCUUCUUAGACAAGACUUGUACAUCUCAAUAACAUCAAAUAAGUUCCAUAACUCAUUGUGACAAUCACCCAACAAAGGUUCAUCGCUAGACAGUCCUCCAACGUCCAAAAAUAUUUCUUCAUCCAAAACAAUCAACUUUCCUAUAAUCAUUGAAGUAUAAACUUCGUCCUUAUACCGAAAAUUAUUGUAAAAUUCCCUUAUCAAGGAUGGAUAUAUUUUACCUUUGAGCUCCAAAAAAUGAUUUGCUCCUUGUACUUCUAAUCCACGAGGGAACUUAAAACCUUGUUCCACCAUCCAAGCUAUAUAUGCGUAGCGAAUGUAAGUCUGUUUCCCUCCUUGGAAUUUUGCUAAUCUAGCUUCUUGAAGGAUGGGAGAGUAGUAAAGGUCACCAUGAUCUUUUCUUCCACCUUGAGCAGAAGAUGAAUUGACGUCCACUCCUCUUGGACGCUUAGUUGUGGUUUUUAUCCUUCUUGGUCGUGAUUCACUCAUAAUUUUUAGGUAAGGGAAUGUCUAAUCGAUUGUAUAAUCGAAUUUCCGAAUUGGGAAUUAGGUUUCCUAAAAAGGGAAAGCUAGGAUUUUGGAUUUUGAUUAGAUUGAAGACUCUAGGGAGAUAAAUUUUGUGUAAUAGGAGAUGAAUUUACUAUUGUGGAGGUCAAAAUCUAUUGAUUUGAGGAAAAAUCCAGAAGGGGAAGCUAUGAGGUUUUUAGGAAUUUAGUGGAAGUGACCUAGAAUUGCACUGGAAUCUGUUUUAUGUCCGACAUUAAUCUAUCAAGACGAGUGUUUAAUCUAUUAUCAUAUUUAAACAAAUGCCCAGUUUAAUCGACUAAAGCCUUAGUUAAUCAAUUAAUGAUUUUAAAAAAAUUCAUUCUUCAGAAAUUUGAGCUCAAGCAAUCGAUUAAGCAGUUUGUUAAUCGAUUAAUGUAAGAUAGUAAUUCAUUUCCAGGUUAUUGGAACUCAAAUUAAUUGAUUAUAAUAUAGAACAAUCGAUUAAUAGUAGAACUAAGACAGAUUUUAGUGCAUUUUUUAGAUUUCUAGGAGAUACUACUAUACUCAAGACUUUAAUCUAAGAGGUAUAUAACACACUAAAAGAAACAUAAAAUAAUCAUGAAUUUAGUUAAGCAUAGGAAUCAUACAUUCGUAUCAAUUACCACACAUAAGCAUAUAUUAAAGAUCAAGACAAGGCAUAUAUUAUCCUGAAGCAAGUUAAUUUUGAUAUUUUUCAUCAAGUAUGUCGAGUUUCCUACGUAAUACAAAGAACAUAUCUCGUGGAAGGGGUUUGGUGAAUACAUCAGCUAAUUGCUUUGAGGUUUUAACAAACUCAAGAAUGCAAUCACCUUUUUGUACAU